rnacentral:rRNA from 1 species
UCUACGGGCGGCAGCAGUGAGGAAUAUUGGUCAAUGGUCGGAAGACUGAACCAGCCAAGUAGCGUGAAGGAUGAAGGUUCUAUGGAUUGUAAACUUCUUUUAUACGGGAAUAAAGCCCACUACGUGUAGUGGUUUGUAUGUACCGUAUGAAUAAGCAUCGGCUAACUCCGUGCCAGCAGCCGCGGUAAUA